rnacentral:rRNA from 1 species
UACGUAGGGUGCAAGCGUUAAUCGGAAUUACUGGGCGUAAAGCGUGCGCAGGCGGUUCGCUAAGACCGAUGUGAAAUCCCCGGGCUUAACCUGGGAACUGCAUUGGUGACUGGCGGGCUAGAGUAUGGCAGAGGGGGGUAGAAUUCCACGUGUAGCAGUGAAAUGCGUAGAGAUGUGGAGGAAUACCGAUGGCGAAGGCAGCCCCCUGGGCCAAUACUGACGCUCAUGCACGAAAGCGUGGGGAGCAAACAGGG